rnacentral:lncRNA from 1 species
CAAGUGCCAGUGACUUCACUCUUGGGCAAUAUCAAAUGGCCCGGAACCAAAAGCAUUUGCUUAUUCUGCCAGCGGAUCAUGCCAACUCUACCUGGAAUCUAUGGUUGUUCUGAUAAAGAGGACUUAGACCAGCUGGGCACCAUUGAAUGUCUAAGGACUCAACAAAAUCUCCAACACUGGCUGCUGUGGCUACUCAGCAGAAGUUGAAAAGCUGCUGCUGACUAGGCUGAAAGCUUCAGGUCAGUCAAUGAGCAGUGUUUGGGAAGCCUUAGCACAACUUGGCAAAAGUGUGACCAGCUGCGGCUGCCCUGAGAUGAGCCGGACCUCAGCUUGAGAGCUGAAGCAGUUGCUGAAGGAGUUAACAGUUGGAGGCUGUCAGCCAGGCACACUCCUCGAAGCUGGCCAGUGAUUCCUUCUUUGAACAAGAAUGAGUGAUGUAUCUCCAUUUCUGCCUCACGGGAAUAAGGAUCCAUCAUGUCUAACAUACCCAGAGAAGCUCCUAGGGGGAUGGUCUGCUACUGAGAGUCACAAAUAGAAGAAUGUUUUGAAGAGGUCCAGGGAUAAGAUACAUUCAUGCUUUAAACGUGCUUCAGAGAUCUUGAGCUUCUACAAAAACGUGUAACAGAAAACCAACAACCAAUUCCACAGGGAUAUUGAGGAUAUGCAGUGGUUUUUCAACACACCCUGAAGAAAUGAUAACGUGCAAAGUGCGGCAUCUUAUUUCAGUCAAACUGUCUUUAGUGAAUCCUUUGGACACAGCUUUUGAAGUCUAAAUUACAUUAGAAUUCAUUCUAUGGAAAUGUGAUUUAUGAGGCAAUUCUUUUCUGAUAUUUGCUUGGUAUUCUUUUUAUGUAAAAAACGAGAAGCUCAAUUUUAAUCUGAAGAAUUAUAAAAGUGCCUCUCCCGAACCGGCAUCUUGUCUCAUUCCCACUGAGUCAGUCAAGAUGAGCAGGCUCGUUUUCUUGAAUGGACGUGUGUUAAUCCUGUGCUUAAUGACACGAUCCAACUGUAUCUGGAUUGAAUAUAUCAUCAGUUAAAAACUAUGAAACGAUAGCCUUUUUUCCAGUUCUCUGACCCAUAUCUUGGAUUAUGGACUCCACUAAGAAUAUGCUCCUCAUCAUAAACUCCCUUCCUCUAAUUGUUAAAGUUAUUUUAACAUUCUUUAAUGUCAAAUAUGAUUUGCUGACUUAAUAUAUUCAAUCAUUUGUUUCAUGUGCCCAAUAUCAUAUAGAUACCUCCUGGGGACUACAAAUGUCCCAGAGGCUGUCCUUGCUCUCAAAGAGCUUACACAGUCUUCUGGGGUUGACAGGCAUUUAACAAAUCUGUGACAAGGG